GACGAACGCUGGCGGCGUGCUUAACACAUGCAAGUCGAACGGAAAGGCCCUGCUUUUGUGGGGUGCUCGAGUGGCGAACGGGUGAGUACCACGUGAGUAACCUGCCCUUGCCUUUGGGAUAACUUCAGGAACCUGGGGCUAAUCCCGGAUAGGAGCUCCUGCUGCAUGGUGGGGUUUGGAAAGUUUCGGCGGUUGGGGAUGGACUCGCGGCUUAUCAGCUUGUUGGUGGGGUAGUGGCUUACCAAGGCUUUGACGGGUAGCCGGCCUGAGAGGGUGACCGGCCACAUUGGGACUGAGAUACGGCCCAGACUCCUACGGGAGGCAGCAGUGGGGAAUAUUGCACAAUGGGCGGAAGCCUGAUGCAGCAACGCCGCGUGCGGGAUGACGGCCUUCGGGUUGUAAACCGCUUUCGCCUGUGACGAAGCGUGAGUGACGGUAAUGGGUAAAGAAGCACCGGCUAACUACGUG
rnacentral:rRNA from 1 species